UAAUUGAAGAGUUUGAUCAUGGCUCAGAUUGAACGCUGGCGGCAGGCCUAACACAUGCAAGUCGAGCGGUAACAUUUCAAAAGCUUGCUUUUGAAGAUGACGAGCGGCGGACGG
rnacentral:rRNA from 1 species